UACGUAGGGUGCGAGCGUUAAUCGGAAUUACUGGGCGUAAAGCGUGCGCAGGCGGUUAUGUAAGACAGAUGUGAAAUCCCCGGGCUCAACCUGGGAACUGCAGUUGAGACUGUAUGGCUAGAGUGUGUCAGAGGGGGGUAGAAUUCCACGUGUAGCAGUGAAAUGCGUAGAUAUGUGGAGGAAUACCGAUGGCGAAGGCAGCCCCCUGGGAUAACACUGACGCUCAUGCACGAAAGUGCGGGGAUCAAACAGG
rnacentral:rRNA from 1 species